CACUAUAAAUCUAAUUGUUAAUUACAUGACUCUAAACUAGUAUAUCCCAUAUGUAGCCCAUUUUUCUAUAGCUUCUAACCAAGUGACAUUUGUUAAAGUUUCUAAUAUGCCCCAAUCUGGCAAUUUAUAUUUUUUAUGGAACAUGGACACCCUUCCCAACCUAACCUUGGUCACCUUUAAACCAAAAUAACUUGGCUUGACCUAAUUAAACCAAAUCAACAUAGCUUAACCUAUAUUCUUUACUUUAGAUGUCAAUCUUGUCUGAACUAACUGCUUUAUAUUUAUCUUGACAACCCU
rnacentral:lncRNA from 1 species